rnacentral:rRNA from 1 species
UACGGAGGGUGCGAGCGUUGUCCGGAAUCAUUGGGCGUAAAGGGCGCGUAGGCGGCCCGGUCAGCGUGCGGUGAAAGCUCGGGGCUCAACCCCGAGUCGGCCGUGCGAACUGCUGGGCUGGAGCACUGUAGAGGCAGGCGGAAUUCCGGGUGUAGCGGUGGAAUGCGUAGAGAUCCGGAAAAACACCGGUGGCGAAGGCGGCCUGCUGGGCAGUGGCUGACACUGAGGCGCGACAGCGUGGGGAGCAAACAGG